UGCCAGCAGCCGCGGUAAUACGGAAGGUGCAAGCGUUAAUCGGAAUUACUGGGCGUAAAGCGCGCGUAGGCGGUUUGUUAAGUCAGAUGUGAAAUCCCCGGGCUCAACCUGGGAACUGCAUUUGAUACUGGCAGGCUAGAGUUUGGUAGAGGAUAGUGGAAUUCCAGGUGUAGCGGUGAAAUGCGUAGAUAUCUGGAGGAACAUCAUUGGCGAAGGCGGCUAUCUGGACCAAAACUGACGCUGAGGUGCGAAAGCGUGGGGAGCAAACAGGAUUAGAUA
rnacentral:rRNA from 1 species